AAUGUCACACCCGUUCCCAUCCCGAACACGGUAGUUAAGCUUCUCUGCGCCAAUGGUAGUUGGGGGCUUCCCCCUGCGAGAGUAGGUCGCUGCCGGGC
rnacentral:rRNA from 1 species